rnacentral:rRNA from 1 species
ACUCCUACGGGAGGCAGCAGUGAGGAAUAUUGGUCAAUGGACGGAAGUCUGAACCAGCCAUGCCGCGUGAAGGAUGAAGGCGUUCUGCGUUGUAAACUUCUUUUAUCUGGGAAGAAACCACAGAUUUCUAUUUGUGUUGACGGUACCAGAGGAAUAAGCACCGGCUAACUCCGUGCCAGCAGCCGCGGUAAUACGGAGGGUGCAAGCGUUAUCCGGAUUCACUGGGUUUAAAGGGUGCGUAGGCGGGCUAUUAAGUCAGAGGUGAAAUCUCCGGGCUCAACCUGGAAACUGCCUUUGAUACUAUUAGCCUUGAAUUAUGUUGAGGUUGGCGGAAUAUAACAUGUAGCGGUGAAAUGCUUAGAUAUGUUAUGGAACACCGAUUGCGAAGGCAGCUGGCUAAACAUAUAUUGACGCUGAUGCACGAAAGCGUGGGUAGCGAACAGGAUUAGAUACCCUGGUAGUC